GAUGAACGCUGGCGGCAUGCCUUACACAUGCAAGUCGAACGGCAGCACGGAGCUUGCUCUGGUGGCGAGUGGCGAACGGGUGAGUAAUAUAUCGGAACGUACCCAAGAGUGGGGGAUAACGUAGCGAAAGGUACGCUAAUACCGCAUACGAUCCAAGGAUGAAAGCAGGGGAUCUUCGGACCUUGUGCUCCUGGAGCGGCCGAUAUCAGAUUAGCUAGUUGGUGGGGUAAAGGCUCACCAAGGCAACGAUCAGUAGCUGGUCUGAGAGGACGACCAGCCACACUGGACUUGAGACACGGUCCAGACUCCUACGGGAGGAAGCGUUGGGAGAUGUUAGAAAAUGGGGGAAACCUUGAGCCAGCAUUCCCGCGUGAGUGAAGAAGGCCUUCGGGUUGUAAAGCUCUUUUGUCAGGGAAAAAAAGGCUGUGGCUAAUAUCCACGGCUCAUGACGGUACCUGAAGAAUAAGCACCGGCUAACUCCGUGCCAGCAGCCGCCGUAAAAC
rnacentral:rRNA from 1 species